GGACUACUCGGGUUUCUAAUCCCGUUCGCUCCCCUGGCUUUCGCACCUCAGCGUCAGGAUACUCGCCAGGACACUGCCUUCGCCUUCGGUGUUCCUCCGGAUCUCUACGCAUUUCACCACUCCACCCGGAAUUCCGUGUCCCUCUCGAGCCAUCAAGUCAAACCGUCUUUCGCAUCCUCGGAUAGUUAAGCCAUCCGCUGUCACACAAAACGCGCUCGACCGCCUGCAUGCCCUUUACGCCCAGUAACUCCGGACAACGCUCGCCCCCUACGUAUUACCGCGGCGGCUGG
rnacentral:rRNA from 1 species